GAGGAAAGUCCGGGCUCUAAUUAGAAAAAUAUAGCUGUAUAAAAAACGGUAUAGGUAACUAUGAGGAAAGUGCCACAGAAAAAAACCGCCUAAUUGCAAAAUAAUAUAGGUAAGGGUGCAAAGGUGCGGUAAAAGCGUACCAGAAGUAUUAUAGUCAUAAUACUUGCUCGGUAAACCCCAUAAAAGAGCAAAGUAAUAAGCUUAAUUAUAUAUUAAUAUCUAUAACUAUAUAUUGCUUAAACUUAUAAUCAUUACUGCGAAAAAAUUAUAUGCAAGUAUAAAAUAUAGAUUAAUAACUACCCUUAAAAAAUUAAUUGUAAUCUCUAUUCUAUAGAUAGAGUAAAGAUUUAUCAAUUAUUAAGAACAAAACCCGGCUUAU
rnacentral:RNase_P_RNA from 1 species